ensembl:lncRNA
CACACACACACACACACACACACACACACACACACACACACACACACACACACACACGUCACACACACAGGCCACCAUCACCACAAUCACGCCAUUUUAUGCAAGGACAAUCAGUGCACAGGACAGGAUUUCCAUUCCAAAUUAGUUGAGUUAUUCCACCUCGUUACCAGAUCGAGUUUAUCUUGCGGGGAGCCCAGAGCCAAGCGGCAAGGUUUGUUUACUCAUGGGAGGUCUGCUCGGACACCGUUGGUUUGUUCAGACACCAUCUGUUUGAGGACCACAGUGCAACGGUUGACGUUUGCUCACCAACUCUGGAUCUGAGGGUGACGGUCAACAGUGUUUGGGAAAGUCCGAACUGAAAAGUAGUGACAGAGUGUUAGGUCUUCAACGGCCAUCGCCUUCCUUAAGGCUGAUUAACCAAUCGAGAAGAACCCGAAUGGAUGUACAGAACCUUCAAAGUCCGGCCUUCUCAUGGAAAACAUAAUCAGUUUUCCUUGGUGAUGUUACGUUUUCAGAGUGCUGUCACCGGUCUAUAAUUCAGUCCUCAGUCCACCAGUGGGUCGUGGGUUUAGUCAGAGCCCAUGCCUUUAAUUUCCACUCUGUGCAGCACAGGAGUGGAACUGCGGAGCCUGUAGGCAUUUUCCUCUGCUCUCCGAGCCAAAACUCGCUGGGAGUAAAAACUGCACCGUGGUUCUGGUUCCACUCCUGGCAGGAAAUGACGCCUAGCCGCCCAGAGUGGCCGGGGUCACGGGGCGUGCCCACGCUGCUCUAUCAACGUGAUGGAAAUAAACACAAGCCUCACCCAGGAGGGUGCGGGGAGUGUUUUCAAAUCACUGGCGUGUGCAUUCAUCAGGGUGUGGUCUCCCCGUGGAAAUUCCCUGUCGAUGAAGGAAACCGUAAACUUAAUGGUUUUGGCCGCCCGUCGAAGCCGUUUGAGAAGAGCCUCACAAUAAAGCACAUCCACCAUCUUGGCUGAGUGAGGCUUGGCGGGGAUUGCAGUAUGUGUUACAUGGAUUUGCUAUGCUAAUGCAACCUUCACUGUUGCUAACUAGCGGGGGACAGAACGAGCGGUUGUUGGCUGUGUCAGUUCUUUAAAGCUAGGGCAGGCAAUUCGGAAAAACCAGCGAGCCUCAGCUAGAUUUUGAAAGAGUCCAACCAAGGAAUUUCCAACCCUUCCUCCAAGUGGCUUUGGAGGCCUCCCGCCGAAGCGCCACCCCCAAAACACAUGACUAGCUUGUAGCUUUAGCCAUAGGUCUGCCUCGCCUUGUGGAAGGCUCCUGUCAUGUUCAAUGAAUGAGUGUGCACAGGUAGCCGGGUACGUACGCCAUAAUCAUUUCAUUCAGGCUGAUUCAAUAAUUG